rnacentral:rRNA from 1 species
UACGGAGGAUGCAAGCGUUAUCCGGAUUCAUUGGGUUUAAAGGGUGCGUAGGCGGACUAUUAAGUCAGUGGUGAAAGCCUGCAGCUUAACUGCAGAACUGCCAUUGAUACUGAUAGUCUUGAGUUUGGUUAAGGUAGGCGGAAUGUGUAAUGUAGCGGUGAAAUGCUUAGAUAUUAGGAAGAACACCAGUGGCGAAGGCGCUUCUCUGGACUGUAACUGACGCUGAGGCUCGAAAGCGUGGGGAGCAAACAGGAUUA